GAUGAACGCUGGCUACAGGCUUAACACAUGCCAGUCGAGGGGAAACGACGGGGAAGCUUGCUUCCCCGGGCGUCGACCGGCGCACGGGUGAGUAACGCGUAUCCAACCUGCCUCUGACUGAGGGAUAACCCGUCGAAAGUCGGCCUAAUACCUCAUGGCAUCGUCUGCGGGCAUCCAACGACGAUUAAAGAUUUCAUCGGUCAGGGAUGGGGAUGCGUCUGAUUAGCUUGUUGGCGGGGUAACGGCCCACCAAGGCUACGAUCAGUAGGGGUUCUGAGAGGAAGGUCCCCCACAUUGGAACUGAGACACGGUCCAAACUCCUACGGGAGGCAGCAGUGAGGAAUAUUGGGCAAUGGGCGGGAGCCUGAACCAGCCAAGUAGCGUGCAGGAUGACGGCCCUAUGGGUUGUAAACUGCUUUUAUGCGGGGAUAAAGUGAGGGACGUGUCCUUCAUUGCAGGUACCGCAUGAAUAAGGACCGGCUAAUUCCGUG
rnacentral:rRNA from 1 species